GAGAGAGGGAGGGAGAGAGAGACAGACAGAGAGAGAUGGAGACGGAGAGAGACAGAGAGCGAGAGAGAGAGAGAGGGAGGGAAUAAUUAGCAGUGAGAGAAUGAAACACAAGUGUCUAAUUUGGGUGGGAGGUUGGUGUUGUCCCUGGGAAGGCAUCGGAACAAGUAUUCAAAGAUUGUAUUCUCCUAUUUAUUGUAUGUGUGAGUGUGUGUGUGUGUGUGAUUCAGAGCCUGCUGUGAACGCUGGCCCAUGGCAGCCUCCUGAAUGGUCUGAUAGCCUUGUGCACUCAACUCUACCUCUGUUUAGACAUGUUUGCUUCUUUCCUUUUCUCUCCCAUCUGUCUCAGUCUGUUUAUCUAUCUAUCUAUCUAUCUAUCUAUCUUUUAUCUCUCUAUCUCUCUCUCUAAAAACCCUAUCUGUCUAUCUCAGUCCCACUCUUGUUUGUCUCUCUUCAAUUUCUUUUUAUUUCAUUUUUAGGAUUUACAAAUUAAUCUUUCCAAUUUGUCUUUGUAUUCUUGGUGGUUUCCUGUGUUGACAUAAAGAGAACUGCUGUAAAAUGUCUGUGAAUUCUCCUGUUUUUUUCCCCCCUUUUCGAUAUUGGUCAUAUGACUGGUUACAGUUAAUGAAUUAUUGUUGUUGUUUUUUUUUUUUUUAAUGUUCUGUAGGUCAACCCAUUACCUGUGCGCAGUUUGCCAAAAGCUAAAGCGCUAUCUGUUUUGGAUAUUCUCUUAGUUCAUCAUCGGUCUUUCUUUCUAGUGAGGUCUCUCCAACCUCAGGCUCCCGUGUGGCCAAUAGGUUUCACCGCUGCAUGCUGACUCUUCAACCAUGGGUUUUAACUGAUGCUCCCAGUUCAGAAGCAAUGUUUAGGAACCUGCACAAGAAAAAUAAACUUUUAAAACUUGCAAUAAAAACCCCUCUGCCUCAGACCUCCUUAAUAUCAGAGUACACAGACAUAAUUCUUUCUUCAAACUUACUGACAUAGUAGUUAGUAGGAUCUGCAGAAUACAAACACGGAGGGAUAAACUUCACCAAACCUGGACUGUUUGAAGAGCAGUAUCAGCGAAUGGACUGAUGAGAUUAAG
ensembl:lncRNA